rnacentral:ncRNA from 1 species
AUAAUGCGGACGGAUUUGGUUUGAUUGCAACCGCUUAAAAAAAAUGCUAAAGCAA